AAUUUAAAAAAAUAAAAAACCCACCAUAUCUCUCUGGCACACUUAGGUCUUGUCUACAUGGUGUGGCAAAGGCUGAUCUGCUAACCCUUAAACUGAAUGACAGUUUCUUCAUUCUGCACCCACAGACGUAAACGAGCUUAAAAUCUGCUUUCACGACACAUGUCCCUUUUUCCUUUCAAGUGCUGACAGAGAUGCAGACAGCUUAGCAGAAUUUUGGAUUAGUGAAUGAAAUACAAGGAUAAAGCGGAUACCAAUCCACCAAGCCCAUCCCCAGCACAGCCCGACAAACAAGCGAAUGAAGCCAAUUUGCCUUUGAUCACAGCAACAACGGGCAGGCUUGCCAGAAAUGCAAGACAUUAGGACAGUAGCACAAAGAAUGGAAUCAUACUUGUUUAACAAGUCUUUCAGGACAUACUAUCACCCCUUCCCAGACACCCACUUUUGACUGCUGGGAGGGGAAUUCAAGUCUCUGCCAGGCUGAACCCAGAGGUCUUUCAAGCUCCUGAAGCCUGAAUGGAGUCCAGACACAGUCUUAUCUCAGGGUCCCUAGGCACAUUCUCAGGGCACAGAUCUAUCUGGUACCCCACUACAAGCGGGGAGAAACCUGCAGUCCAACUGCCUAGCCCUCCUGGGCGCAGCGCUGACACUUCAGAAGUAAGAUUAUAUAAAAACAUCAUAACAUCCUAAGGCUCUGUCUACACUGCAGAGUUUUGUCACCAAAACAGUUAUGCCAUUUAAAUUAAACUGCUUUAAAUUAAGCUGC